rnacentral:rRNA from 1 species
UAACGACUCUCAGCAACGGAUAUCUCAGCUCUCG